rnacentral:rRNA from 1 species
UACGUAGGGGGCAAGCGUUGUCCGGAUUUAUUGGGCGUAAAGAGCGUGUAGGCGGCUUUACAGGUCCGUUGUGAAAACUCGAGGCUCAACCUCGAGACGCCGGUGGAAACUACCAAGCUGGAGUACGGUAGGGGCAGAGGGAAUUUCCGGUGGAGCGGUGAAAUGCAUUGAGAUCGGAAAGAACACCAACGACGAAAGCACUCUGCUGGGCCGACACUGACACUGAGAGACGAAAGCUAGGGGAGCAAAUGGG